UGUCUAACCGUUCAAAACAGUUGUACGGUGGACGUUUGGGAAUUUUCAGUUCCGUUCACCGUCCUCGGAUUGAAUCUAAUUUGGAGUCUUUUCAUCCAAGCUGAUGGUGGGAUAAGACUCUUUGUCGGGGGAAGGCGAGCGUGGCGGCUUCCAAUCAACUGGGGCGGAAAACACCUGUUAUCGCUACAGCUCAAUAAGCACAACAAACAUCAUGGCCGCCUUCCAGGGACGCAAGCGUGUGUCCACCAACCAUGAGGGGCAUCCAGACAACGAACAAAAAGCACAAAAGAUCCACAUCGCUGUCUCUGGACCCGUCUACCUGACCGUCCUCCCCCCCACCCUUACUGCGAUUCGCCUGCCAAGAAGAGGACGUUCUUCUUGACUCCCUUUUUGGAGCUGCUACUUCUGGACCGCUUCGCUCACGUCCGUCCAAGUGUUAAAGUCCCCGCUGGACCAGUACACAAGACAGAUGUCAACACUGGAGCUGUUGACUAAAAGUCACAGCCUAAAGAAAGGCAUUCAUAAUGAGACUAAGGGCGGCAAGAAAUGAUGCAGAAGGAACUGAUCAGCUAAAGAGGUACGUGCAGAUUGAGGCAGCUUCGUUGAUUGCCUCACUCUUACCAUUUUAAAGUAUAGAUCUCCCUACACGUAUGCAAAAAAAAAAAAGUCCAAAAUGGUUUAUUGAUAUGUCAAGUAGAGGUACCGUAAUUUUCGGACUAUAAGUCGCCCCCCCACCCAAAUUAUGGACAAAAAACGCGAUUUAUAGUCCGAAAAUUACGGUACUAACUCAGAGAUGCGUUGAGAUAAGUUACUUUAUA